GGAUCCAGACUUUGAUUCUGGCUCAGGAUGAACGCUAGCUACAGGCUUAACACAUGCAAGUCGAGGGGAAACGACAUCGAAAGCUUGCUUUUGAUGGGCGUCGACCGGCGCACGGGUGAGUAACGCGUAUCCAACCUGCCCACCACUUGGGGAUAACCUUGCGAAAGUAAGACUAAUACCCAAUGAUAUCUCUAGAAGACAUCUGAAAGAGAUUAAAGAUUUAUCGGUGAUGGAUGGGGAUGCGUCUGAUUAGCUUGUUGGCGGGGUAACGGCCCACCAAGGCGACGAUCAGUAGGGGUUCUGAGAGGAAGGUCCCCCACAUUGGAACUGAGACACGGUCCAAACUCCUACGGGAGGCAGCAGUGAGGAAUAUUGGUCAAUGGGCGAGAGCCUGAACCAGCCAAGUAGCGUGCAGGAUGACGGCCCUAUGGGUUGUAAACUGCUUUUAUAAGGGAAUAAAGUGAGUCUCGUGAGACUUUUUGCAUGUACCUAAUGAAUAAGGACCGGCUAAUUCCGUGCCAGCAGCCGCGGUAAUACGGAAGGUCCGGGCGUUAUCCGGAUUUAUUGGGUUUAAAGGGAGCGUAGGCCGGAGAUUAAGCGUGUUGUGAAAUGUAGAUGCUCAACAUCUGAACUGCAGCGCGAACUGGUUUCCUUGAGUACGCACAAAGCGGGCGGAAUUCGUGGUGUAGUGGUGAAAUGCUUAGAUAUCACGAAGAACUCCGAUUGCGAAGGCAGCUCACUGGAGCGCAACUGACGCUGAAGCUCGAAAGUGCGGGUAUCGAACAGGAUUAGAUACCCUGGUAGUCCGCACGGUAAACGAUGGAUGCCCGCUGUUGGUCUGAACAGGUCAGCGGCCAAGCGAAAGCAUUAAGCAUCCCACCUGGGGAGUACGCCGGCAACGGUGCAACUCAAAGGAAUUGACGG
rnacentral:rRNA from 1 species